rnacentral:rRNA from 1 species
CAGAUGAACGCUGGCGGCAGGCUUAACACAUGCAAGUCGAGCGGGGGAAGGUAGCUUGCUACCGGACCUAGCGGCGGACGGGUGAGUAAUGCUUAGGAAUCUGCCUAUUAGUGGGGGACAACAUCUCGAAAGGGAUGCUAAUACCGCAUACGUCCUACGGGAGAAAGCAGGGGAUCUUCGGACCUUGCGCUAAUAGAUGAGCCUAAGUCGGAUUAGCUAGUUGGUGGGGUAAAGGCCUACCAAGGCGACGAUCUGUAGCGGGUCUGAGAGGAUGAUCCGCCACACUGGGACUGAGACACGGCCCAGACUCCUACGGGAGGCAGCAGUGGGGAAUAUUGGACAAUGGGGGGAACCCUGAUCCAGCCAUGCCGCGUGUGUGAAGAAGGCCUUAUGGUUGUAAAGCACUUUAAGCGAGGAGGAGGCUACUUUAGUUAAUACCUAGAGAUAGUGGACGUUACUCGCAGAAUAAGCACCGGCUAACUCUGUGCCAGCAGCCGCGGUAAUACAGAGGGUGCGAGCGUUAAUCGGAUUUACUGGGCGUAAAGCGUGCGUAGGCGGCUUAUUAAGUCGGAUGUGAAAUCCCCGAGCUUAACUUGGGAAUUGCAUUCGAUACUGGUGAGCUAGAGUAUGGGAGAGGAUGGUAGAAUUCCAGGUGUAGCGGUGAAAUGCGUAGAGAUCUGGAGGAAUACCGAUGGCGAAGGCAGCCAUCUGGCCUAAUACUGACGCUGAGGUACGAAAGCAUGGGGAGCAAACAGGAUUAGAUACCCUGGUAGUCCAUGCCGUAAACGAUGUCUACUAGCCGUUGGGGCCUUUGAGGCUUUAGUGGCGCAGCUAACGCGAUAAGUAGACCGCCUGGGGAGUACGGUCGCAAGACUAAAACUCAAAUGAAUUGACGGGGGCCCGCACAAGCGGUGGAGCAUGUGGUUUAAUUCGAUGCAACGCGAAGAACCUUACCUGGCCUUGACAUACUAGAAACUUUCCAGAGAUGGAUUGGUGCCUUCGGGAAUCUAGAUACAGGUGCUGCAUGGCUGUCGUCAGCUCGUGUCGUGAGAUGUUGGGUUAAGUCCCGCAACGAGCGCAACCCUUUUCCUUACUUGCCAGCAUUUCGGAUGGGAACUUUAAGGAUACUGCCAGUGACAAACUGGAGGAAGGCGGGGACGACGUCAAGUCAUCAUGGCCCUUACGGCCAGGGCUACACACGUGCUACAAUGGUCGGUACAAAGGGUUGCUACACAGCGAUGUGAUGCUAAUCUCAAAAAGCCGAUCGUAGUCCGGAUACACACGUGCUACAAUGGUCGGU